UUUUGAAAACUUUGGUUUUAGUCCUCCAAAACUAACGCUGUUAAAAAUCUGUUGUUGUGUCUAAUGUUUGUCCACGUGUGUUAACUGUUUUGCUGCCUCUCUCUUGACACUUUUGAUUGCUUUUUUGGGGCAUUAGGGGUUCUGCAUUUUCCUCCCAUUCUCGCAAAUUCCCGAGACUUAGGGUCUCUUCUUCUCUGCAGACAAACAGAAACCCCAAGGCACUCAAACGUUGGCAACCGCACCAUCCUCACCUCCCCCCAACCGGUAGCUGCGAACCGCGACCCCGGCGUCGCCAGCGAUGACGUCUAUUGCCAGAGCCAUCGUCAACCGACCGCGCCACCGCAUCAACCGACACAAGCCGCAGUUCGUCGCGCUAACGCCCUCGCCCACGAAGCCCGUCGCUGGCGACGAGAUCUUUUUCUGCUCCAUUUUCAUCGUGACAGAACGAAGGAACGACAAGAAGGCGCCGUUAGCCACCAUUGCUGGUGCCGCCAUUGGGUCAGCCCUUCCUGGCCACUCCAGCGGUUUCUUUGGGUUGCCUGGCCACCGCACAGUCUCGUCGGGGUCACCGUUAUGCUCUGAUUGGGGUUUUUGGUGGUUGGUGGGUGAAUAUGGACUGUAAAGGAUGGGUUACUGGGAUUUGGGUUUAGAUAGAAUAAUGGAGUGCGACUGAUGGGGUAGUACCUAGGAACCAGCGACUAUCGAUGGUCCAAAGGGAAACUGGGUAUUGGGGGAAAUGGUUGAUGGUUACUCCAUAAAGAUGAAUGGUGGUAGCUUGCUCAAGAGGAGAAACACCAUGGUGAGUUGAAAUGGGCAAGUAUGGUAUCUGUUGUUGAGGAGAAUAAGUUUAUUUCCGGAUGCAUAUUUCUUUUCCAGGUGACCAUCUGUGUUUUAUGAGUCUUCCUAUUCUUGCUCUCGUGAUGAAGGUAUAUGGUGAAGCCAUGUUUGUUGAGUGGAUUACAAAUGAAAGAUGAUAUGUGAUUCUGCUUCUGUUGGCUUUUAUUUACGUUUUCUAUAGCGCUUUUCUGGGUGCGAGUAAAUGGGUAUAUCGAAGUCCAGAUGUUGGGGGAAUCUAUCUAUCAUCUUCGCAACUUCAAAAGAACUCUUCCUUUUGGUUUUAGUUCCCUCUACCUUCUUCGAUUGCUUUUUCCUUUUGGUUGUCCCACGUUCUUGCAGGCGUUGGAAAAUUUGGUUGAAAAACUUUGUUGAAAAACUUGGUUGAAGGCAAAAUGGUUUACUGGUGGCCCAAAUGGUAAAAAAGCAAAAAAGCAAUCACAUGUGUCAAGAAAGAGGCAAUAAAACAGUUAACACACGUGGAGAGACGUUAGACACAUCAACAAAUUUUUAACAGCAUUAGUUUUGGAGGAUUAAAAUCAAAGUUUCCAAAACAUCGAAGA